CGAACGAUGAACCUCACUUCGGGAGGGGAUUAGUGGCGAACGGGUGAGUAACACGUGGGCAAUCUGCCCUGCACUCUGGGACAAGCCCUGGAAACGGGGUCUAAUACCGGAUACGACACUCUCGGGCAUCCGAUGAGUGUGGAAAGCUCCGGCGGUGCAGGAUGAGCCCGCGGCCUAUCAGCUUGUUGGUGAGGUAAUGGCUCACCAAGGCGACGACGGGUAGCCGGCCUGAGAGGGCGACCGGCCACACUGGGACUGAGACACGGCCCAGACUCCUACGGGAGGCAGCAGUGGGGAAUAUUGCACAAUGGGCGAAAGCCUGAUGCAGCGACGCCGCGUGAGGGAUGACGGCCUUCGGGUUGUAAACCUCUUUCAGCAGGGAAGAAGCGAAAGUGACGGUACCUGCAGAAGAAGCGCCGGCUAACUACGUGCCAGCAGCCGCGGUAAUACGUAGGGCGCAAGCGUUGUCCGGAAUUAUUGGGCGUAAAGAGCUCGUAGGCGGCUUGUCGCGUCGGUUGUGAAAGCCCGGGGCUUAACCCCGGGUCUGCAGUCGAUACGGGCAGGCUAGAGUUCGGUAGGGGAGAUCGGAAUUCCUGGUGUAGCGGUGAAAUGCGCAGAUAUCAGGAGGAACACCGGUGGCGAAGGCGGAUCUCUGGGCCGAUACUGACGCUGAGGAGCGAAAGCGUGGGGAGCGAACAGGAUUAGAUACCCUGGUAGUCCACGCCGUAAACGGUGGGCACUAGGUGUGGGCGACAUUCCACGUCGUCCGUGCCGCAGCUAACGCAUUAAGUGCCCCGCCUGGGGAGUAC
rnacentral:rRNA from 1 species